ACAGCAGCAGCCGCGGUAAUACAGAGGGUGCGAGCGUUAAUCGGAUUUACUGGGCGUAAAGCGUGCGUAGGCGGCUUCUUAAGUCGGAUGUGAAAUCCCUGAGCUUAACUUAGGAAUUGCAUUCGAUACUGGGAAGCUAGAGUAUGGGAGAGGAUGGUAGAAUUCCAGGUGUAGCGGUGAAAUGCGUAGAGAUCUGGAGGAAUACCGAUGGCGAAGGCAGCCAUCUGGCCUAAUACUGACGCUGAGGUACGAAAGCAUGGGGAGCAAACAGGAUUAGAUACCCCGGUAGUCCUGUCUCUUAUACA
rnacentral:rRNA from 1 species